CACUUGUGAGCAAACAUAUCGCCCCGUUUCUUCUACUCUAAUCGUUAGAUCGAGAGCUAAACCAUCAAUGAUAUAUGCCGUAAUGUUGGCUGUAAGAGGGCCGGCAGCUCAAGAGCCACAAAAGGCUUGAAGGAUGAGGUAUCCACCUCAACAUUUUCCCUACUAAUCCGUGCGUAUUUUUUAUGAACAGGAGUCACCGGUGGAGUCUUAUCUCUUUAGGGCAUUUCUACGACCAUCUCUGUGCCACCGGGCACGUCGGUUUGUGGAGCAGAUUCGAGGGAUUUGGAGCCAACGAUGGAGGGAUGGGGGCAGUGUGGACGGCGUGCGUAGAGGGAAGAAGACAACACUUUCCGAAAUGGUAAACCACAACAAGAUGUUGAAUCUGGACGAAUCAGAUAGCUACUACUUGAUCUUUGUUGUCAAGUCCAUGCACACCGUUGGUGUUUUUCGUGUUCCAGCAGUUGUCUAGCAAUUAUCAAGCAGCAGAGUUUUAAAUAUGGAGCAUGCUUUUCCUGUAUUUUUAUUUCUUUAGAGGAAGCAUCUGUUCAAAAUAUCAGGAAACAUGAAGCAUCUUCGGCACCUUCAUUUAUCAGCAUUUUGGUACUUGAUCUGGUCAUCGUCAUGAACAAGAUCUUGCCAACCAUCAGCUGUAGCUGCAUCUUAUUCACAGACACAACUUCAUAAUCCUAGAUCUUGCAGAACAAUGAUGCCUUAUCAUUACUAUGUUUGUUACUAUAC